rnacentral:rRNA from 1 species
AUUGAACGCUGGCGGCAGGCCUAACACAUGCAAGUCGAACGAGUGGCGGACGGGUGAGUAAUGAUUGGGAAUCUGGCUUAGGGAGGGGGAUAACUACGGGAAACUGUAUCUAAUACCGCAUACCAGAGGAUGAGCACAAAGGGGAUUAGGUAGUUGGUGAGGUAAAGGCUCACCAAUCCGACGAUCUCUAGCUGGUCUGAGAGUAUGACCAGCAACACUGGGACUGAGACACGGCCCAUACUCCUACGUGAGGCAGCAGUGGGGAAUAUUGCACAAUGGGCGCAACCCUGACGCAGCCAUGCCGCGUGUCUGAAGAAGGCCGUCGGGUUGUAAAGUACUUUCGGUAGCGAGGCGUUAACUACAGAAGAAGCACAGGCUAACUCCGUGCCAGCAGCCGCGGUAAUUC